rnacentral:rRNA from 1 species
UACGUAGGUGGCAAGCGUUGUCCGGAUUUACUGGGCGUAAAGAGCGCGCAGGCGGUCGUUCAAGUCGCGUGUGAAAGCCCCCGGCUCAACUGGGGAGGGUCACGCGAUACUGAUCGACUGGAAGGCAGGAGAGGGUAGUGGAAUUCCCGGUGUAGUGGUGAAAUGCGUAGAUAUCGGGAGGAACACCAGUGGCGAAGGCGACUACCUGGCCUGUUCUGACGCUGAGGCGCGAAAGCUA